rnacentral:rRNA from 1 species
CCCUUAGAUGUCCUGGGCCGCACGCGCGCUACACUGAGUGUCUGAGAUACGAGUCUGCCUGGUCCGGCAAGGUCUAGGUAAUCGCUAAAAGACACAUCAUGCUUGGGAUAGAUUAUUGCAAAUAUUAAUCUUGAACGAGGAAUUCCUAGUAAGCGCAAGUCAACAGCUUGCGUUGAUUACGUCCCUGCCCUUUGUACACACCGCCCGUCGCUACUACUGAUUGGAUGUUUAAGCGGGGUUCUCGAACUGCUAGCGACUUAGCUUCGGUGAGGUCGCAGUGUGGGAAGUGAACCUAGCUUUGGUGUCUAGAGGAAGUAAAAGUCGUAACA